rnacentral:tRNA from 3 species
GCGACCUUGGUGGAAUGGUAGACACGCUACUUUGAGGUGGUAGUGCCGUUACGGUGUGCGAGUUCAAGUCUCGUGGGUCGCACCA